AUGUUUGGCACUAAAUAUUUGAAUGAUGAGCAUGAUUGCAAUGUUGUUAGUAUGAAUUCCUUGAAUAUCCAUGACGCUAAUGAUAUGAAAAGCCACAAGCUUGGGGAAGCUAUGUUUGAUGAAGAUGAUAUUUUUUGUCCCCCAAGUUUUGAUGAGCAAAUUUAUUAUGAUGAAAGAAUGCCUCCUAUUUAUGAUGAUUAUAUUGAUGAAAGUAGAUUUGGAGAGGUCAUGACUUUAUUUUGUGAUGAGUCCACUAUUCCGGAAGAGGUUCCAAUUGAUUAUGAGAACAAAGUUUCUAUCUAUGAUGAUUAUUGUGAUGACUUGUAUGCUAUAAAUAAUAAUGAUAUCCAUGAAACUCGUCUUCAUGAUUUUAGUUUUCAAUUGGAUUAUUCCUCACAUGAUAAUUAUUUUGUUGAGCUUGCUCCCACUACUAUUCAUGAGAAGAAAUUUGCUUAUAUGGAGAGUAAUAAAAUUUCUAUGCUUGUAGAUCAUGAAAAGAAUGCUUUAGGUGCCGGUUAUAUUGUUGAAUUCGUUCAUGAUGCUACUGAAAAUUAUUAUGAGGGAGGAACUUAUGUUUGUAGGAAUUACAAUAAUAUCAAGUUUCCUCUCUAUGUGCUUAAAGUUUUGAAGUUAUCCUUGUUUUACCUUCCUAUGCAAGUUGAUUCUUGUUCCCACAAGUUGUUUGUUCACAAAAUCCCUAUGCAUAGGAAGUAUGUUAGACUUAAAUGUGCUAGUCAUAUUCUUCAUGAUGCUCUCUUUAUGUUUCAAUUCUUAUCUUUUAUGUGA
rnacentral:rRNA from 1 species